GAGGAGUACUGGGGAAUUGGACACCAGAUAAUUCACGGCUGCGGAUUUCAUUCAUUAGCUCGAUUUAUGUGAUGAAUUCCGGCCAAAUCGCCGCCUUCCUCCGACGUUCGAGAACCACCAUCCACCUCCUGCAGCUCCUCUCUCUGCUCCUCAAGACCGCCCUCUGCCGCGACUCGCACUUGGCCUCUCGGUUCAUCCACCACGCGUGCUCGAUCUCUCUCCCGCUCGCCGCGUCGGCUCUCGACCACUUGUCCCACGCUCCUUCGCGUUUCGGUUGGAACUCGAUCGUGAGAUCGUGUGCCAAGAACUCGAGCCCGGUGCGAGCGGUUGAGCUCUUCUCUCGAAUGCGAAGAACCGGGAUUGAGCCCGACAAAUUCACGUACCCUUUUGUCGUUAAGGCUUGCGGCAAGUGUGGCAGGAUUGGAGAAGGCAGGGGAGUGCAUUCCUUGGCUCUGAAAGUGGGUCUUGGAUCGGACUCGUAUGUGGGGAACACCCUCGUUCGUAUGUAUGCUGCUUGCGGUGAGAUUGGAUUCGCGAGGCAGGUAUUCGAUGAAAUGCGCACUAGGGACAUUGCCUCUUGGAGCUCUAUGAUUGCGGGAUAUGUUGCUUGCCGCUUUCCUUUGGAUGCUUUUGAGAUUUUCCGACGCAUGAGACUGGCGAAUGGAAAACCUAACUCUGUUACUUUCGUGAGCCUGCUCUCUGCCUGUUCUCAUCUGGUCAAUCUCCGAGCAGGGGAGUCCAUCCAUUCGUACAUCAUCCGGAAUUGUAUGUGUCUGGACGCAGCCCUCGGAACAGCUCUUCUUGAGAUGUAUUCCAAGAGUGGUCACAUUGUGAAGGCUCUCCAAAUCUUCUGGUCAAUGGAUGAUACGAAUUUGCAGUCUUGGACAAUAAUGGUUUCUUGCCUAGCAGACCAUGGGAGGGGAGAAGAUGUUAUUUUUCUGUUCAACCAGAUGGAACAAGCUGGGCCAAAACCAGAUAGCAUGUUGUUUUCUGGAAUCUUGUCAGCUUGUGGCCACUUGGGUCUGGUUGAUGAAGGUCGGAGAUAUUUUCAAAUGAUGGAGGAAGUAUAUGGUAUCAGGCCUACAAUGGAGCAUUAUGGAUGCAUGGUGGAUUUGCUUGGAAGAGCUGGCUUGAUUGACGAAGCUCAUAGAAUUAUCGAGAUGAUGCCAAUGGAGCCCAACUCAAUAAUUCUGAGGAGCUUCAUUGGUGCUUGCAGAAACCAUGGCCAUUUUGUUAAGUUAGAUGAUGACCUGAUGAAACUUCUUAUUAAACUAGAACCUGACGCUGGCGCAAACUAUGUGCUUGCUGCAAGCAUGUCUUCCUUAUCUAGUAGUUGGACUGAUGCUGCUGAAUUGUGGUUAUCCAUGAAAAGGAGGGGUUUAAAGAAAGCUCCAGGUUCUAGUUGGGUUGAGGUGAAUGCCAGUUCUGUUAAAGGGAUCAAAGAAGAAGCUGCUGGAUGAGGUUUCUCAAGAAUAAGAUAUCAGUAAUGAAGAUAAAUCUGCGUACCUUGGCCUUGCGACUGGUAAGCACCUAAGUUUAUUCUAAAAUGAAACCCACGAGCCUUUAUCAGAAGGAUGGAUUCUUUCGGUCGAAGUUGGUGGGCAUGCACAAUUUUUAUUUCCCUCCUUUUGCAGCCCUUACAUGCAAUGUUUCCUUUCAAACCAGUUCUAUUGAUCUGGCUUGAGAAAAGAAUGAAACUGCACUAGGACACUGUUUUAAAUUGUUCAUGACGCAGGUGCUUCUUUGACUGGCAAACUUCUCAUACUCGUCGGCUUGAACGAUGGUUGUUUGAUUGUCUCCGAAAGAACGGUUUCGGAAGAUCCUUCAGGUGCAACAAGAUUCUUUAUGCACAUGUAAUUUAUGAUUUGCAUUGCCCUGGAAUUCCCUCUUGUGGACAAGAAUGUGGCUGUAUCUUGCAGAUUUCUGCGGAUCUAGGGGUAACUUUCUUUUAUAGGUGGUCUAUGCGAUAAGAUUCACCAUUUCAACACCAAGCAGCACAAUAGUGGUCCGGGUUGAAGAAGGGACCUCAGUGAAGCUGGAUCUUCAGUCACGUGCCUACACAUGGUAAGAGUGUGUAGUGCCUACCCAGAAUUCAUUCAUCCCUUCACCAUCAACCCUCCCAGGUAGACUCAUGGCUUGGGCCACCCGAUCCAGCAUUGCAGGUUUCAACUUAUCAGAUCAGUGGUUCCUCACAGCAGCCACCAUAGUCGUCGGUGGAAUCUUGGGUUACGUAGUUUACGAUGCGGUCAUGGCCACAGCCUCCGAGCUACUGCAGCGUUUACUGGUGAUUUCCCCUUUGCUUCUGGUUAUCACGGUCCACUGGCUCUCAGCAGGCAGCCACCUGAGCUUGCCACUGCCAGGGUCCGAGCCUGGGGCCAUCCAUCGAGCCGGAGGCUCGCCUUGGGGCGUAGCUUUAGUUCUCCUGCUUCUUUUAUUUCUCAUAACCUACCAACCUUCCCUGCAUGGUCUCAUCUUUUAAUGUACUAAACCAACUCUCUAAGCUCUUGAGCGUAGGACGAGUUGGUAUAUUAAUUAGUCAAGGAGCUCAUGAGACUCUGCUAUGCUAGGAUAUGCAUGUAUUAGCAGAAGAAGUGUGUGCGUAUUUUAGCUUAAUAAGAACCUGGUCUGAUGUUUGUUUUUGUUGA